CAGGCCUAACACAUGCAAGUCGAACGAGACCUUCGGGUCUAGUGGCGCACGGGUGCGUAACGCGUGGGAAUCUGCCCUUGGGUUCGGAAUAACAGCGAGAAAUUGCUGCUAAUACCGGAUGAUGACGUAAGUCCAAAGAUUUAUCGCCCAGGGAUGAGCCCGCGUAGGAUUAGCUAGUUGGUGGGGUAAAGGCCUACCAAGGCGACGAUCCUUAGCUGGUCUGAGAGGAUGAUCAGCCACACUGGGACUGAGACACGGCCCAGACUCCUACGGGAGGCAGCAGUGGGGAAUAUUGGACAAUGGGCGCAAGCCUGAUCCAGCCAUGCCGCGUGAGUGAUGAAGGCCUUAGGGUUGUAAAGCUAUUUGAUCCGGGACGAUAAUGACGUGAGCCGGAGGAAGAAGCCCCGGCGAACUGAGUGCCAGCAGCCGCGG
rnacentral:rRNA from 1 species